GUGCAUGUAGCUCAGUGGAUAGAGCACCCGUUUUCUAAGCUGAAGGUCGUAGGUUCGACCCCUACCUGGCGCG
rnacentral:tRNA from 1 species